AGAAGACAAAGGGCAUAGCUCCAAAUUGUUUCUUGUUUUCCUUUUUCUUCUUUCUUUUCUCCUUUUUCUAUUCUAAGUCAGCAGUUUAAAAGAUCACCCCUCAGUGGCAGCUUGGAAGGCAGAAGUUGGAGACUGCCUGGGGAGAAGGGCUCCCAGCUCCAAGCACCAAUGCUUCCCCAUUCCACUGGUGUCCACAGGAACUCUGGGAAGGAAGAGGCAGAGGAAGUGUGACUUGCCCUCAUGUGACAGAAGAUGAGAGUGGCUUAUACCGAUCAGACAUUGCUGAGCACAGAGUUCAUAUUUCUGGAGCACUCUGAAAAGGGGCUUAAAGGCCCUGUGGAUUGUGUCCACUUCUGGACAUCUUGUGGGGUCUAAAACCAGCCCUGAAGCAAGCUUGAUUACAGCUCAGGGUCGCUUCAUUGUCCUGGAGGAUCAAAGAGGAUUUAGCAUAGGAGGGCUUGCUUUGAACAGUGAGCACAGAUGAAUUUCCCUGCAGGCAUUGGGGCCAUCCUGAGUGCUGGAGCAGGCUGGGGUGGCACAGGUGUCCUCUUAAAAAUCUCCGAACUGCCCUCGGCAUGGCUUAUUGCUGUGUAGCCAUCACUCCUGAUGUCAAGCUUUUCAGCGAAGGCAAGCUUUAGCUUUGGAAUCUGAAAGCAGCUCUUCUUUGGACUUCAGAGAAACACACUUACAUGAGGCGUUGAAACUGUUCUCCCUUGUAUUUUCAAGAAAUACACUUCACUGCGCUUUUCUCCUGGCACUCCUGGCUCUAUGCUACCUUUCCUGGGAGUAAAUACACCCCAACCAAUUUCUCUGUUGCCAUUUUCAGGCCAUAUUUGUUUGCAACUUUGUGUGUCUCAGAAACUUCAUCGUCAGUGAAACUCUGGAACGUCAGGAAGCAAGUAGAUCUGCUGCAGAUUUACAUUAAAACAGAGGGAAAUGAAGACCUCUAAAAAAGAUCAGCAGAAUAUCACACCCAUAAAUCCAAGUUGGACUACAGUGUGACAGUUUUUUCUUACACGUCUCUGCUCAGGGAAGAAUUAGUCAUCUAGCAUGCUAAAGUUCUCAUUUUGGUUUCAGAAUUUUUAAAUGAUGCUUAUGUCUCAUUUCUCUUGGAUUCUUCAAGACCUUUGAAUCCAACAGCCAGUCUCGACUGAACCUCGGAGACGUAAAGAUCCCACAGAUGCUCUGCUUUUAUGAAAUUACUGGAAAACAAGCAGCCAAGCAGCAAGGAUUGCCAGUGCCUCUGCAGAGAGAAUGGCUGCAGCAGGAAUUCUCCUCUUGUCGGUUGUCAGCAUGCUGAGGCAGGAAACCAGCUGGGAGCCUCCAUGGAAGCAUCGAGGAAACCAGGCUCUGCUACUUCUGCUGCUCGCAAAGUUGCAUUUCCUUCCCUUGUGGGCAGGAGUGGAAGCAAGACAUAUUUCAGACACAUCAGUGUCCAAAUCUCUGUGAGAAGCAACUCCACUUACAGCUUAGGUGUCUGUGGGGUGCUUUGCUGUCCUUCAGGAAAGAAGCUAACUGCAGCUGUUCAUUUCAUUCUCUCAGACUUAAACUGAGAUUGAACAAGUCCCAUUACACUUCCUGUCAUAUUUUUGAGAUCAGAAUCACACUAUUUACAAAAAAAAAAAAAAAAA
ensembl:lncRNA